rnacentral:lncRNA from 1 species
GGGAGAUAGGCCUGGUUUCUAUAAACAAUGAUGCAAGACAGAACAUGAUGUGCCAGGAGGGACAGAGUGCCAAGGUGGGGACAAAGGAAUGACGAGUCCCGAAAUAGACCUGUGGGAAAGGUGUUGUGAUGCUGGGAGGCUGGACUGGAUCUUAAAGAAGGCCAGUGUCCACAUCCUGCUCACAUUUGGGACAUCUGUGAGGCAGGGUGCCUCCUUUUUGUCCCUCCAAGAGGACAGUUGGGGGACUUGGCCUCUGGCCGCCUCAAGUUGGGUCAGCACCUGCUGGGCCUCAUCCUGGUUCAUCGUGCAUCAAUGGGAGCGCACCUGGGUUCUGCUGACAUGUGAGAGCUUCUUCACCGAGGGGUUCAGAAAAGUGUGCUCAUGGCCUGUAGAUCUGGAUUCAAAGGGAGAUGAGAAAAAUAGGAACUGAGCCCGUGGCUUGCCUCACCCACUUCCUGAGCCUGCGCAAGGGACAAGACUUUCCUGUGUGGCCUUCUUACGGCAGUCCACAGGGAAGUGGCCUCAUUUUCUGUGUCUGUCCUGCCCAGCGCCCCCACUCUCCUGUGCUGGUCCCAGGCCAUCCCUUAGCCAGAGUGCAGAACUCCAGACCCCCAAUAUUCUCUCAUAUCCUCAGAAUCUUCAGCUUCCAUCCAUGGAUGUUGGCUGAAUCCUGAGUGGGGUCGUAGAAAGAUCUGGUCCUGUGAGUAGGGGGGCGAGGAGGAAGGCAGGGACUUCAGCUGGGCUGUCUACAACCUGAGUCUAAAACACCUAAAGACAAGCACAACUUGCCCCCGCUAGGACGAAUUUCUUGCUCCAGACCGCCUCACUGCAUCUCUAGGGCCAUGUGUAUUCCUGCUAUUUGGCCACAUUCCUUGAGAAAAAUUGCCUAUUAAAAGAAUUUCCUUAUUCACCAGUUAU